GAACCUAAAGGCAAGACCAGUUCUGUGUCUUCAGAAAAAAUUCUGAAGUCACAGAACUGGUCUUGCCUUUAGAUUCAACCUAUGCC
rnacentral:miRNA from 1 species